UUUGGAUUAUGGCUCAGAUUGAACGCUGGCGGGAUGUUUGACACAUGCAAGUCGAACGGCAGCACGGACUUCGGUCUGGUGGCGAGUGGCGAACGGGUGAGUAAUGUAUCGGAACGUGCCUAUGGGGAUAACUACGCGAAAGCGUAGCUAAUACCGCAUACGCCCUUCGGGGAAAGCGGGGGACCUUCGGGCCUCGCACUAUUAGGAGCGGCCGAUAUCGGAUUAGUCAGUUGGUGGGGUAACGGUCAUUACCGCGACGAUCCGUAGCUGGUUUGAGAGGACGACCGCACACACUGGGACUGGAGAUACUUGGCCCAGACUACGGAGGCAGUGGGGAAUUUUGGAAGGUAAUGGGGAAACUCCUGAUCCAGCCAUCCAAGCGUGUGCGAUGAAGGCCUUCGGGUUGUAAAGCACCAGUGUGGAAAGAAACGGCACGGGAUAAUACCCCGUGCAACUGACGUACCUGCAGAAUAAGCACCGCUAACUACGUGCCAGCAGCCGCGGUAAUACGUAGGGUGCAAGCGUUAAUCGGAAUUACUGGGCGUAAAGCGUGCGCAGGCGGUUCGGAAAGAAAGAUGAAAUCCCAGAGCUUAACUUUGGAACUGCAUUUUAACUACCGAGCUAGAGUGUGUCAGAGGGAGGUGGAAUUCCGUGCGUAGCAGCAAAUGCGUAGAUAUGCGGAGGAACACCGAUGGCGAAGGCAGCCUCCUGGGAUAACACUGACGCUCAUGCACGAAAGCGUGGGGAGCAAACAGGAUUAGAUACCCUGGUAGUCCACGCCCUCUAAACGAUGUCAACUAGCUGCUGGGGCUCUCGGGCCUUUAGUAGCGCAGUUGACCAGUGAAGUUGACCGCCUGGGGAGUACGGUCGCAAGAUUAAAAACCAAAGGAAUUGACGGGGACUCCGCACAAGCGGUGAUGAUGAUUAAUUCGAUGCAACGCGAAAAACCUUACCUGUUCUUGACAUGUCUGAAUCCCGAAGAGAUUUGGGAGUGUCAGCAGAGAAACCGAACACAGGUGCUGCAUGGUGUUGUCGUCAGCUCGUGUCGUGAGAGCGCGGUUAAGUCCCGCAACGAGCGCAACCCUUGUCAUUAGUUGCUACGAAAGGGCACUGAACAGAUCGCCGGUGACAAACCGGAGGAAGGUGGGGAUGACGUCAAGUCCUCAUGGCCCUUGGCGGUGCAGGGCUUCACACGUCAUACAAUGGUCGGGACAGAGGGCUGCCAACCCGCGAGGGGGAGCCAAUCCAAAACCUGGAUCGUAGUCCGGAUCGCAGUCUGCAACUCGACUGCGUGAAGUCGGAAUCGCUAGUAAUCGCGGAUCAGCAUGUCGCGGUGAAUACGUUCCCGGGUCUUGUACACACCGCCCGUCACACCAUGGGAGUGGGUUUUACCAGAAGUAGUUAGCCUAACCGUAAGGAGGGCGAUUACCACGGUAGGAUUCAUGACUGGGUGAAGUCGUAACAAGGUAA
rnacentral:rRNA from 1 species